rnacentral:rRNA from 1 species
GGGUUGUGAGGUUAAGCGACUAAGCGUACACGGUGGAUGCCCUGGCAGUCAGAGGCGAUGAAGGGCGUGCUAAUCUGCGAUAAGCGCCGGUAAGGUGAUAUGAACCGUUAUAACCGGCGAUACCCGAAUGGGGAAACCCAGUGUGACUCGUCACACUAUCAUUAACUGAAUCCAUAGGUUAAUGAGGCGAACCGGGGGAACUGAAACAUCUAAGUACCCCGAGGAAAAGAAAUCAACCGAGAUUCCCCCAGUAGCGGCGAGCGAACGGGGAGGAGCCCAGAGCCUGAAUCAGCAUGUGUGUUAGUGGAAGCGUCUGGAAAGGCGCGCGAUACAGGGUGACAGCCCCGUACACAAAAGCGCAUGUGCUGUGAGCUCGAUGAGUAGGGCGGGACACGUGGUAUCCUGUCUGAAUAUGGGGGGACCAUCCUCCAAGGCUAAAUACUCCUGACUGACCGAUAGUGAACCAGUACCGUGAGGGAAAGGCGAAAAGAACCCCGGCGAGGGGAGUGAAAAAGAACCUGAAACCGUGUACGUACAAGCAGUGGGAGCACAGGUUUACCUGUGUGACUGCGUACCUUUUGUAUAAUGGGUCAGCGACUUAUAUUCUGUAGCAAGGUUAACCGAAUAGGGGAGCCGGAGGGAAACCGAGUCUUAAUUGGGCGUUAAGUUGCAGGGUAUAGACCCGAAACCCGGUGAUCUAGCCAUGGGCAGGUUGAAGGUUGGGUAACACUAACUGGAGGACCGAACCGACUAAUGUUGAAAAAUUAGCGGAUGACCUGUGGCUGGGGGUGAAAGGCCAAUCAAACCGGGAGAUAGCUGGUUCUCCCCGAAAGCUAUUUAGGUAGCGCCUCGUGAAUUCAUCUCCGGGGGUAGAGCACUGUUUCGGCUAGGGGGCCAUCCCGGCUUACCAACCCGAUGCAAACUGCGAAUACCGGAGAAUGUUAUCACGGGAGACACACGGCGGGUGCUAACGUCCGUCGUGAAGAGGGAAACAACCCAGACCGCCAGCUAAGGUCCCAAAGUCAUGGUUAAGUGGGAAACGAUGUGGGAAGGCCCAGACAGCCAGGAUGUUGGCUUAGAAGCAGCCAUCAUUUAAAGAAAGCGUAAUAGCUCACUGGUCGAGUCGGCCUGCGCGGAAGAUGUAACGGGGCUAAACCAUGCACCGAAGCUGCGGCAGCGACACUGUGUGUUGUUGGGUAGGGGAGCGUUCUGUAAGCCUGUGAAGGUGUGUCGUGAGGCAUGCUGGAGGUAUCAGAAGUGCGAAUGCUGACAUAAGUAACGAUAAAGCGGGUGAAAAGCCCGCUCGCCGGAAGACCAAGGGUUCCUGUCCAACGUUAAUCGGGGCAGGGUGAGUCGACCCCUAAGGCGAGGCCGAAAGGCGUAGUCGAUGGGAAACAGGUUAAUAUUCCUGUACUUGGUGUUACUGCGAAGGGGGGACGGAGAAGGCUAUGUUGGCCGGGCGACGGUUGUCCCGGUUUAAGCGUGUAGGUGUGUGUUCCAGGUAAAUCCGGUUCACUUUAACACUGAGGCGUGAUGACGAGGCACUACGGUGCUGAAGCAACAAAUGCCCUGCUUCCAGGAAAAGCCUCUAAGCAUCAGGUAACAUCAAAUCGUACCCCAAACCGACACAGGUGGUCAGGUAGAGAAUACCAAGGCGCUUGAGAGAACUCGGGUGAAGGAACUAGGCAAAAUGGUGCCGUAACUUCGGGAGAAGGCACGCUGACACGUAGGUGAAGUGAUUUACUCAUGGAGCUGAAGUCAGUCGAAGAUACCAGCUGGCUGCAACUGUUUAUUAAAAACACAGCACUGUGCAAACACGAAAGUGGACGUAUACGGUGUGACGCCUGCCCGGUGCCGGAAGGUUAAUUGAUGGGGUCAGCGCAAGCGAAGCUCCUGAUCGAAGCCCCGGUAAACGGCGGCCGUAACUAUAACGGUCCUAAGGUAGCGAAAUUCCUUGUCGGGUAAGUUCCGACCUGCACGAAUGGCGUAAUGAUGGCCAGGCUGUCUCCACCCGAGACUCAGUGAAAUUGAACUCGCUGUGAAGAUGCAGUGUACCCGCGGCAAGACGGAAAGACCCCGUGAACCUUUACUAUAGCUUGACACUGAACAUUGAGCCUUGAUGUGUAGGAUAGGUGGGAGGCUUUGAAGUGUGGACGCCAGUCUGCAUGGAGCCGACCUUGAAAUACCACCCUUUAAUGUUUGAUGUUCUAACGUGGACCCGUAAUCCGGGUUGCGGACAGUGUCUGGUGGGUAGUUUGACUGGGGCGGUCUCCUCCUAAAGAGUAACGGAGGAGCACGAAGGUUGGCUAAUCCUGGUCGGACAUCAGGAGGUUAGUGCAAUGGCAUAAGCCAGCUUGACUGCGAGCGUGACGGCGCGAGCAGGUGCGAAAGCAGGUCAUAGUGAUCCGGUGGUUCUGAAUGGAAGGGCCAUCGCUCAACGGAUAAAAGGUACUCCGGGGAUAACAGGCUGAUACCGCCCAAGAGUUCAUAUCGACGGCGGUGUUUGGCACCUCGAUGUCGGCUCAUCACAUCCUGGGGCUGAAGUAGGUCCCAAGGGUAUGGCUGUUCGCCAUUUAAAGUGGUACGCGAGCUGGGUUUAGAACGUCGUGAGACAGUUCGGUCCCUAUCUGCCGUGGGCGCUGGAGAACUGAGGGGGGCUGCUCCUAGUACGAGAGGACCGGAGUGGACGCAUCACUGGUGUUCGGGUUGUCAUGCCAAUGGCACUGCCCGGUAGCUAAAUGCGGAAGAGAUAAGUGCUGAAAGCAUCUAAGCACGAAACUUGCCCCGAGAUGAGUUCUCCCUGAGACUUAAAGUCUCCUGAAGGAACGUUGAAGACGACGACGUUGAUAGGCCGGGUGUGUAAGCGCAGCGAUGCGUUGAGCUAACCGGUACUAAUGAACCGUGAGGCUUAACCUUACAACGCCGAAG